rnacentral:rRNA from 1 species
ACCUACGGGACGCAGCAGUGAGGAAUAUUGGUCAAUGGGCGCGAGCCUGAACCAGCCAAGUCGCGUGAGGGAAGACGGCCCUACGGGUUGUAAACCUCUUUUGUCAGGGAGCAAGAACGGAUACGUGUAUCCGAGCGAGAGUACCUGAAGAAAAAGCAUCGGCUAACUCCGUGCCAGCAGCCGCGGUAAUACGGAGGAUGCGAGCGCUAUCCGGAUUUAUUGGGUUUAAAGGGUGCGUAGGCGGAUCGUUAAGUCAGUGGUCAAAUUGAGGGGCUCAACCCCUUCCCGCCAUUGAAACUGGCGCU